CAACACUUUUAUUUUUGAAUAUUAAGACAAUGAAGCAUAAGCCAAGAGCACCAAGAGUAACAGGUACUGGUGAAAGAGGGCAAGAGCACCAAGAGUAACAGGUACUGGUGAAAGAGGGGCAUGCUGAGCUGCAACCCUCUGCCCCCCAAAAACAGCAAACUGUAACCCAAAGUCAAACAAAAUAAUACAACAGAGCAACUUAGUAACAGCCUGGGAGUAGGGACCAUUAACUGUACAUUAGAGAGAAUGAAGGAAAGAUAAGAGAAAGGACAUCAAGUGCGAAUAGUUACAUUGUACAGUACAAACCUUGGGCAGUGUAUAAAAAAAUAAUAAUAAUUGAAACAUAAAAGAUGAUGAGAGACAGUGAUAACCACAUCACUCCAGAUAAUCCAUGGUGCAUGUUUCAGCAAGUGUUUUGAGGGGCUAGUCCCAAGGGUCCAAUAAGAAAUACAGAGGCAGGUCAUGGGUGGCGCACAAAUCAUCCCAGUUCCAAACUUCACCUUCAGCUCCUUUCUCUAAAACAAAUGUGCAUAUAGAGCUUUACAGUAACAUAGUUACCAUGAUGAUGCGUGUGAUUUAUUGAAUCUGAAACCGAUUCAACAGAAUUUAAUACAAGUCAGACAGCCAGUCUUUUAUUUCGGUCUAAACAUUGUCAAACACAACCUCCCUAUAGUUAUCAAAUAAAAUUAAACCGAAAACCUUUCCUGUUGGUAAUGUGCAAGGCUCUGCACCCAAAAUAAUUUUCUCUCUAAUAUUUUAACAUAGUCUUGUUAUUUUCUAAAAGAAAUUCCAGCUACACCAGCUUAUUGAUAGGCGUAUAUCGUGUGAGGCCACGCGCUGCCAAUCUAAGUCUUAGUAUCACAUCUGAGAAUCAUGACCUUUCAACUUGCUUUGUGAUCUGUGAUAAAGUCUCCAUCCAUACUGACUGAUCACUUGAGUCAAUCAUACACCUGAUGGUCUAUAAAUAUUUAAUAAUCAUGUUUAACUACAUUGUUCUGAUAGCAAAUCCAGACCUUAAAUUGGGUACUAAAAUAUGGGAGAUUAAAAGCUUUGUGCAGGCUAAUUCUUUGAGAGAUUUUCAACUUUCUUGUGGCACACAACUACGCGCUUGUAUAAAAACAAAUAAAACGAAUGCAUAUGUUUUUGUUGCAUUUUCUUCAACAGGGAAUUUUGCUUUAAUUUGCUGCAACAUGCAAAUUAUCCAGACUAGGGACCUUGAAGAAAUGGUAAGAAAAUUUAAGAAAAGGCACUUCUGAAAGUUAAUAAAUCUAUACAGUGAGCCAAUUAGCACCUUUGGGGUCUUAAACAAGGCCCUUUUUAACUUUGAAAAUGUUUAUCUUGGAACAUUUUUGUAAUCAUUUUGUGAGAAUGGUAUCUAAAAAAAUUUUCACCAAACUUAAACCUUUGGUCACAUUAAUCUAUCUCUCUCAUACCUUUGACACAUUGCACCAUGUCCAUUUUUCUCAUGAUGUGAACACAAUGAUCCUAACCUAAAGACAAUUUCAAAGGAGACCGACUUCCCAGACAAUUCACAUCAGUUUUCACAAGGGUCACCAUUAGAGCUAAGCCCAAGAACAUUAUUGCAUUUCUUUACAGUUGCUAAUAUUAAAAAUAUUUCAUUUAAAUCUGUAUCAAUAUAUAUAUAUAUAUAGAUAGAUAUAUUUUUUAAUCCAUUACGUCUUUAGUAAAACUAGGGAAAACUGGGGGAGAGAGAAGAGGCACCAGGACCCCAUCUCUGCCCCCAUCUGACUGAGCAAAUGUUCCACCCCUGAUGAAAAUUGGUACACAUAGGUAUAGGUAGGUACACGUCAAGUUUCAUGAGUUAGUGCAGUGAGGAGUGUCUGGAGCGAAGCCAAGCAUGACACUUUUACAGGUGAGCGGUAAGCAGGACAGCUGGCCCCUUCAGAUGCCAUGUCAACCUAAAACCUGCUUCACAACCUCCAUCUAAGCCAAGGCUCUGUCUAAAUUGCACUAAUUUCACCUACACCUUACAGAAAGAGAGGAGGUGAGGGAGAACAAACCACACAGUGGUGAGUCAGCAACGCCCCAAAGUUCCCUCCUCGGGUCUUUGAAUUCUUCCCAGGAUGACCCUGACAUCCUUUCUUGUGCAAGGGAAAAGACUCAGCGGGAUAACGUGCAGGAAGACGACUUUAAAUGCAUCAGAAUAGACUGGAUUAGUGUUGCCUGGGAGGAACGGAUAACACAAAACUUUUCAUGUCAGCAGAAGUCUCUUGCGGUUGACAGGGAGGUCAGGGGCAGUGCAACACAAUCACACAAGCACACAACGCUGGUUAUAGUUGCACGGUACCACACUGCUGUUUAGGUGUUGUGAGACUGAGCUGAGCAUUCGGCAGUUCUACCUGAUCUCAUCAAUUAAAAAGAAGUCAGAAAGAUGUGGGAAUCAAUAGUCAUAUCCCUAGCAGUACACAAAAUACAUCAUACAUCAGCACCAGUCCCAUGAAGAGGAUGUCUCACAGCGCCAUUGGCACUCUGUGCAGGAACAGUCAUUGGAAAACACAUCCACUGAAUGCACCAUAUGAUGAACUAAAAGCUUUAGAUGUAUGAAGGCACACUGCUUAAGUGUUUUUGAGACUAAACAGAUGGGGCAAACAACACAAGAGUUAGAAAUCUGUCUUUUCCUUUUUCCAGCAUUCAUCAAAAACACAUGUGGCAUUUGAAAUCCCUCAUUUUAGUCAAAGAAAUUCAAGUGCGGAUAUGGCUGAUUCUAAAGUGAUAAAGAAGCUGGUCUUGGCCUAGGGGCCAAUAAUGUGAUUAUACUCUAUUAUUUAAAUCCUGAACCGUCCUCCAAAGUUGCUU